rnacentral:lncRNA from 1 species
CGAGUGCAACUGUAAAUGAAUUUAAGAAGGCAUUACUAGUAUUUAAUGAAAAAAAUGUAUUGGAAACUUUUUUAUCAGUCAAUCAUUAAAAUAUGCAAGGUGAUAAUGUUCUUAGCAAAGAAAGAAUAAUCUUGAUUAAGAAUGUUUAGUAACUGUGCUAAAAUUCUAUAGAAAUUUCACAUUAAAACGUAUUUAUUUUGCCACUCAUGUUUAAAAUCGCACAACUCUAUAAAUACCAUAGAAGGCAAUUACUUACAAGAAAUGUUGUACUCUUUGUACAAUAAUCACUCAUCGCGCUAUCUGCUAUAUUGAUAGUAAUUUAAAUGCAGG